rnacentral:rRNA from 1 species
CCUACGGGAGGCAGCAGUCGGGAAUAUUGCGCAAUGGAGGAAACUCUGACGCAGUGACGCCGCGUAUAGGAAGAAGGUUUUCGGAUUGUAAACUAUUGUCGUUAGGGAAGAUACAAGACAGUACCUAAGGAGGAAGCCCCGGCUAACUAUGUGCCAGCAGCCGCGGUAAUACGUAGGGAGCGAGCGUUGUCCGGAAUUACUGGGUGUAAAGGGAGCGUAGGCGGGGAUGCAAGUUGGGUGUCAAAACUACCGGCUCAACUGGCAGUCGCACUCAAAACUGCAGCUCUUGAGUGAAGUAGAGGCAG